rnacentral:rRNA from 1 species
CAGCCGCCGCGGGAAUACGAAGGGGGCUAGCGUUGCUCGGAAUGACUGGGCGUAAAGGGCGCGUAGGCGGCAUGUACAGUCAGACGUGAAAUUCCUGGGCUUAACCUGGGGGCUGCGUUUGAUACGUGCAGGCUAGAGUGGGGAAGAGGGUUGUGGAAUUCCCAGUGUAGAGGUGAAAUUCGUAGAUAUUGGGAAGAACACCGGUGGCGAAGGCGGCAACCUGGUCCUUGACUGACGCUGAGGCGCGAAAGCGUGGGGAGCAAACAGGAUUAGAGACCCCUGUAGUCCCUGUCUCUUAUAC